GCCCGAGUGGUGAAAUUGGUAGACACGCGGUGUUCAGGGCGCCGUAUUCGUGAGGAUGUGGGAGUUCGAGUCUCCCCUCGGGCA
rnacentral:tRNA from 1 species